rnacentral:rRNA from 1 species
UAGGGAAUUUUCGUCAAUGGGGGGAACCCUGAACGAGCAAUGCCGCGUGUGUGAAGAAGGUCUUCGGAUCGUAAAGCACUGUUGUAAGUGAAGAAUGCCAUAUAGAGGAAAUGCUAUGUGGGUGACGGUAGCUUACCAGAAAGCCACGGCUAACUACGUGCCAGCAGCCGCGGUAAUACGUAGGUGGCAAGCGUUAUCCGGAAUCAUUGGGCGUAAAGGGUGCGUAGGUGGCACGAUAAGUCUGAAGUAAAAGGCAACAGCUCAACUGUUGUAUGCUUUGGAAACUGUCGAGCUAGAGUGCAGAAGAGGGCGAUGGAAUUCCAUGUGUAGCGGUAAAAUGCGUAGAUAUAUGGAGGAACACCAGUGGCGAAGGCGGUCGCCUGGUCUGUAACUGACACUGAUGCACGAAAGCGUGGGGAGCAAAUA